AACAAUUCGGCCCAUCGUUUCUCCCGCUCAGGGUCAGCGGCACCGUUGUCUUGACAGAAAGCCCGGCUCCAACCAAGACAGGACCGUGUCCUGGUAUCGCCCAUGUGAAUGUUGCUUUGCCAUGUUGACUGGGGAGCGACAAGACUCUUCAGAACUACGGGCGACCGAAUCCCACGCCUUUACCUGGAGCAGCGAAGGGCAGGCCGCCAAUACUAGUCAUCUCCACCGGGGGGCGCUCUUCGAUCACAACAUGCCUCCCGCUCUCCAGGCUGAGGUCACAUGAUGUGCUGGGGGCCACCACGUAGAACGGUAUCCUGUGGUGCCUCGCAGCGAUGGCCAGCUGUGCGGUGCCGUAUCCCGCUGUUGCCAGGGACCCCGUGUUGCCGUGUGUGAGGAUGGUGACGGAGUCUUGGGGAACCCCAGACAGGAUGUGCUGCGCCCCGUAGUUCCCCAUCUUCUGGUUGUCGUCGAUGUCCCGCUGCAGCAUGGCCUCGAUCCAGCCAAUCACGCUGUGUGGCACACAAGCAAGCAGUGGUUCUCCUGCGGCCCGGGCCAUGUUCACAGCUGUGGGUCGGGCGGACGUCAGGACGGCUAGCGACUUUCGUAAGAAGGGCACCAGGCUGUCCCCCCUGAUCCCGGCCCGCAGCUCCAUGGCCACACUCAGACACC